rnacentral:rRNA from 1 species
GUACACGCUGUGACUAGCAUAUCAAUAAGCGGAGGAAAAGAAACUAACAAGGAUUCCCCUAGUAACGGCGAGUGAAGCGGGAAGAGCUCAAAUUUGAAAUCUUAAAGGGUUUCCCUUUACGAAUUGUAGUUUAAAGAAGUGUUUUCUGUUGAGGUUUUGGUAAAAGUUCUUUGGAAUAGGACAUCAUAGAGGGUGAGAAUCCCGUAUUUGACCUUUACUUUCAACUUUGUGAUACACUUUCAAAGAGUCGGAUUGUUUGGGAAUGCAGUCCAAAAUGGGUGGUAAAUUUCAUCUAAAGCUAAAUAUUGGCGAGAGACCGAUAGCGAACAAGUACCGUGAGGGAAAGAUGAAAAGAACUUUGAAAAGAGAGUUAAACAGUACGUGAAAUUGUCAAAAGGGAAGCGUUUGACACCAGUGUUGUUUUUCUGAAAAUCAAUUAAAGAACUGUUUAUGCUAAGCUGUUUAGACUUUAUCAGCUAUCUGUUUAGUUUUGAGCUUUUCUUUAAUGCACUUUUCAGUUAACAAGUCAACAUCAAUUUCUUUUGCUGUAAAAAAGCUUGAGGAAGGUGGCUUGAGAUUCGUCUUAAGUGUUUAUAGCCUCUUGCCUAUGCAGUCGGAGAGAUUGAGGUCUGCAGCGUAGAUCCUUCGGGGCUAAAUGCAUUUGUGCUAAGUUAUAGCAUUUUAUAGACAACUUGUUGACUAUGAUUUGUCUUGUAGCUUACUCGCUUAUGUUAUUUUACCUACGCUUAGGAUGUUGAGGAUGUAGCACAUCAU